GAUGAACGCUAGCUACAGGCUUAACACAUGCAAGUCGAGGGGCAGCAUGGUCUUAGCUUGCUAAGGCCGAUGGCGACCGGCGCACGGGUGAGUAACACGUAUCCAACCUGCCGUCUACUCUUGGACAGCCUUCUGAAAGGAAGAUUAAUACAAGAUGGCAUCAUGAGUCCGCAUGUUCACAUGAUUAAAGGUAUUCCGGUAGACGAUGGGGAUGCGUUCCAUUAGAUAGUAGGCGGGGUAACGGCCCACCUAGUCUUCGAUGGAUAGGGGUUCUGAGAGGAAGGUCCCCCACAUUGGAACUGAGACACGGUCCAAACUCCUACGGGAGGCAGCAGUGAGGAAUAUUGGUCAAUGGGCGCAGGCCUGAACCAGCCAAGUAGCGUGAAGGAUGACUGCCCUGUGGGUUGUAAACUUCUUUUAUAAAGGAAUAAAGUCGGGUAUGGAUACCCGUUUGCAUGUACUUUAUGAAUAAGGAUCGGCUAACUCCGUGCCAGCAGCCGCGGUAAUACGGAGGAUCCGAGCGUUAUCCGGAUUUAUUGGGUUUAAAGGGAGCGUAGAUGGAUGUUUAAGUCAGUUGUGAAAGUUUGCGGCUCAACCGUAAAAUUGCAGUUGAUACUGGAUAUCUUGAGUGCAGUUGAGGCAGGCGGAAUUCGUGGUGUAGCGGUGAAAUGCUUAGAUAUCACGAAGAACUCCGAUUGCGAAGGCAGCCUGCUAAGCUGCAACUGACAUUGAGGCUCGAAAGUGUGGGUAUCAAACAGGAUUAGAUACCCUGGUAGUCCACACGGUAAACGAUGAAUACUCGCUGUUUGCGAUAUACGGCAAGCGGCCAAGCGAAAGCGUUAAGUAUUCCACCUGGG
rnacentral:rRNA from 1 species